CCUAAUCACUACUGUACAUCGCUCUGGAUAAGAGUGUCUGCUAAAUUACAUAAA
rfam:Salmo salar isolate Sally breed double haploid chromosome ssa25, whole genome shotgun sequence.